rnacentral:rRNA from 1 species
AAGCGAUUCCGGCUACGGAUGGUCAUGCGUCGCAUUAGCUAGUUGGCGGGGUAACGGCCCACCAAGGCGACGAUGCGUAGGGGUUCUGAGAGGAAGGUCCCCCACACUGGUACUGAGACACGGACCAGACUCCUACGGGAGGCAGCAGUGAGGAAUAUUGGUCAAUGGCCGCAGGGCUGAACCAGCCAAGUCGCGUGAGGGAUGACGGUCCUAUGGAUUGUAAACCUCUUUUGUCAGGGAGCAAAGGGCGCCACGUGUGGCGCUUUGCGAGUACCUGAAGAAAAAGCAUCGGCUAACUCCGUGCCAGCAGCCGCGGUAAUACGGAGGAUGCGAGCGUUAUCCGGAUUUAUUGGGUUUAAAGGGUGCGCAGGCGGAAUGUCAAGUCAGCGGUAAAAUUUCGGGGCUCAACCCCGUCGUGCCGUUGAAACUGGCGUUCUUGAGUGAGCGAGAAGUAUGCGGAAUGCGUGGUGUAGCGGUGAAAUGCAUAGAUAUCACGCAGAACUCCGAUUGCGAAGGCAGCAUACCGGCGCUCAACUGACGCUCAUGCACGAAAGCGUGGGUAUCGAACAGGAUUAGAUACCCUGGUAGUCCACGCAG